GAAACCAGACCACACACCUCCCAUUACUCAGUGCUGAGCUUUACCCCAGGACUUCAACACAAUGGUACUGAGCUCACAUGUCAGCUGGACUUCUCUAGGAAGAGCACACAAAGGACUGUCCAACUAAGAGUGGCCUGUGAGUAUGAUAUGAUGCUUUGGGCUAUGCAGAGUCCUGGUGAUGGGAGGUAGAGAAUCCCCCAACUUCAUGCUCAGGAGAGUUCGUGGAGGA
rnacentral:lncRNA from 1 species